UACGUAGGGUGCAAGCGUUGUCCGGAAUUAUUGGGCGUAAAGAGCUCGUAGGCGGCUUGUCACGUCGACUGUGAAAACCCGGGGCUCAACUCCGGGCCUGCAGUCGAUACGGGCUGGCUUGAGUUCGGUAGGGGAGUCUGGAAUUCCUGGUGUAGCGGUGAAAUGCGCAGAUAUCAGGAGGAACACCGGUGGCGAAGGCGGGACUCUGGGCCGAUACUGACGCUGAGGAGCGAAAGCGUGGGGAGCGAACAGG
rnacentral:rRNA from 1 species